rnacentral:misc_RNA from 1 species
AAACGGCGAAACGUCAUGUGACCUGCAUGCUUUGCGAAUCAUCAAAUCUUUGAACGCAUCUUGCACCUGCGGCCCUGCGGCCCAGGUAUGCUUGUUUGAGUAUCGUGAUCAUCAUCACGCCAUGGGGACGCAGGCGUGGAGCUGAGGGUGAGUUGAUUCAGGCGCGCACCCGCACACAUAUACUGUGUGUGCGUGUGCGCGCCAGACUCUCCCUUCAAAGGCAGCACGGCGCCAAUGUGGUAACACCGUCAGAGGCAAAGUGUGAACGUGAACGUGAACGAGGUGGGCCGUGGACCGCAGUGAUGUGCGGCUCCAUGCGUGACCCAUAACACAAUCAUCAUCAAUCCAUCUCAAACAAGUAAGAGGACCCGCUGAACUUAA